ACAGGAAAUUGUGACACAGGUACAGGGGUCCAAUCAUUACUAUACAAUACCAUUGACAGCAGGUUUAACCAUUCAUUGAUACUUUUGGUGGGAGCCAAUCACAACAUUUAGAGUAUUGACCAAUCACAGGGUGGGCCCAGGACCCUCAUGUAGGGCACAACUAGUCUUAAGCAAUAGGUGAUUAUCUUAUAGCCUCCAUCUUUAGGCCCACCCUUAAAAAUGUUAAAGAUGUUAGCUGGCCUUUCCUGAUUGGGUGUUACAAGGGUGGUCCCUCCUUCCUUGGGCAACGUGUGCCCUUCUAUUGUCUAAUGAUUCUGAGGAGCCGACACCUAGGCCUCCAAGGUCAGAGGGGAAACUUUAAUCAGACCUGCGUCCUUACAGUCCCACUAUUAUUUCUAUUUUCUAAGUCAGGAAGCAGGCACAGAGAGGUAAAUAAAGCUCAAGUUGACAAGCUGAGAAUCUGUAGCUAGGUUGCAAGAUGAGUAGCAAGAGCGCCUGCUGGCGGGCCACCAGCCUCCCAUCCGUUUGGUGUCCGUACUCUGGGAGGGGAGUCUGGUGCGGUGGGUUUGCGCGCUGUUUCGGCGGCUGGCGGCGGGCUGAAGCGUGGAGCUGAGCUGGGGAGGAAGCAUCGAGAGGAAGCCGCUCCCGCCUUCCUAGAGAGGAGACCGCUGCCGGGGGUCGGCGCGGGCUGUUGACGUCACGGCAGCCUGGCGGGGUCCAGGCCGCUUGCGAGCGUCCAGAAGCCCUAGGGGCGCACGAGGUGUGGGCGGCGGUGCCGGGGCCCAGCACCCGGGGAGUUGAGUCGGCCGUUCAGGGCUGCGGCGAUCUAGUCGCGGCGCCACCGUCGGAGCCGGGGCCGGUCCCCUGCAGCGCGUGAAUCUUGGAGCAGGGGUCGGGCGCCGCGAGUGGGGGCCAGCUUGCCCCGAAAAGGGACAGGAGAAGGCUGUUCGAGAGCCCUGGUCUGGGAGUCGGGAGACCGGGGUUCCAUACUUGAGGGAGGAAUCGCAUCUGAGUGCAUUCCUGCCCUUCCUCAAGGGAAGUUUCCAGGAGACAAACCAGUGUCACUUGUGUUCCUAACAGCUUAUCCCUGGGCAAGAAGACCAAGCCUGAUGCAACAAACAGUGUUAAGUGACUUGCAGAAGAUGUGGAGGGUCAGGGAAGCUGGUCAGCAGGCGUUUGUAUUUGGAGAAGGUGAAGAUGCGUGCUGGACAAGGAGGAGGGGCUUCCCGCAGGCAUGCCUGAGGGCACAGUACGUGCGCGCUUACACACAGAACUUUCCCAGGACAGUGUUGCUGUAACCAGAAUCAUCUCUGAGAAAGUACCUUGUAAGUGUCAUGAAUUUGAGAGACAGUUUCCUGUAAACCUGAACCUACUGGACAGACAGUCCUUCACCGUGUUACAAGCAGCACAAGUG
rnacentral:lncRNA from 1 species